AGACCCGAAACCCGGUGAUCUAGCCAUGGGCAGGUUGAAGGUUGGGUAACACUAACUGGAGGACCGAACCGACUAAUGUUGAAAAAUUAGCGGAUGACCUGUGGCUGGGGGUGAAAGGCCAAUCAAACCGGGAGAUAGCUGGUUCUCCCCGAAAGCUAUUUAGGUAGCGCCUCGUGAAUUCAUCUCCGGGGGUAGAGCACUGUUUCGGCUAGGGGGCCAUCCCGGCUUACCAACCCGAUGCAAACUGCGAAUACCGGAGAAUGUUAUCACGGGAGACACACGGCGGGUGCUAACGUCCGUCGUGAAGAGGGAAACAACCCAGACCGCCAGCUAAGGUCCCAAAGUCAUGGUUAAGUGGGAAACGAUGUGGGAAGGCCCAGACAGCCAGGAUGUUGGCUUAGAAGCAGCCAUCAUUUAAAGAAAGCGUAAUAGCUCACUGGUCGAGUCGGCCUGCGCGGAAGAUGUAACGGGGCUAAACCAUGCACCGAAGCUGCGGCAGCGAACGUAUCACCCAAGACAACUUUACGGAGUUGACGAUUGACGGAGCGAAGCGACGUCAAAGCGUUCAUUAAAGUCGAGUUGGCUUAGGGAUACGUUCGUUGGGUAGGGGAGCGUUCUGUAAGCCUGUGAAGGUGUGUCGUGAGGCAUGCUGGAGGUAUCAGAAGUGCGAAUGCUGACAUAAGUAACGAUAAAGCGGGUGAAAAGCCCGCUCGCCGGAAGACCAAGGGUUCCUGUCCAACGUUAAUCGGGGCAGGGUGAGUCGACCCCUAAGGCGAGGCCGAAAGGCGUAGUCGAUGGGAAACGGGUUAAUAUUCCCGUACUUGGUGUUACUGCG
rnacentral:rRNA from 1 species